rnacentral:rRNA from 1 species
UGGGGAAUUUUGCGCAAUGGGGGAAACCCUGACGCAGCAAUGCCGCGUGGAGGACGAAGGUCUUCGGAUUGUAAACUCCUUUUGCGGGGGAAAAACGGUCGGGUGAAUAGCCCGAUUUGAUGGUACUCCGCGAAUAAGCCACGGCUAACUUCGUGCCAGCAGCCGCGGUAAGACGAAGGUGGCAAGCGUUACUCGGAAUUACUAGGCGUAAAGCGCGAGCAGGCGGUUUGGUAAGUCUGUUGUGAAAGCCCCGGGCUCAACCCGGGGAGGCCAAUGGAUACUGCCAGACUUGAAUACGGGAGAGGUCACUGGAAUUCCUGGUGUAGCGGUGAAAUGCGUAGAUAUCAGGAGGAACACCGAAGGCGAAGGCAGGUGACUGGACCGUUAUUGACGCUGAGUCGCGAAAGCCGGGGGAGCAAACAGG